rnacentral:rRNA from 1 species
UACGUUGGGUGCAGGCGUUAAUCGGAAUUACUGGGCGUAAAGCGUGCGCAGGCGGUUUCUUAAGUCAGAUGUGAAAGCCCCGGGCUUAACCUGGGAACUGCGUUUGAAACUGGGAGACUUGAGUGUGGCAGAGGGGGGUGGAAUUCCACGUGUAGCAGUGAAAUGCGUAGAUAUGUGGAGGAACACCGAUGGCGAAGGCAGCCCCCUGGGUUAACACUGACGCUCAUGCACGAAAGCGUGGGGAGCAAACAGG